rnacentral:rRNA from 1 species
AUUUAAAAUGUAUUUGUAAAUAUUAAAGUAGUAUUAGUUAUGUUCUUGAAACUUAAAAAAUUUGGCGGUAUUUUAGUCUAUUCAGAGGAACCUGUUCUAUAAUCGAUAAUCCACGAUGGACCUUACUUAAAUUUGUUAAUCAGUUUAUAUACCGUCGUUAUUAGAAUAUUUUAUAAGAAUAAUAAUUUUCAUAAAAUUUUAUUAAAAUAUAUAUCAGAUCAAGGUGUAGCUUAUGUUUAAGUAGAAAUGGGUUACAAUAAAAUUAUUUAUACGAAUAUAAAUAUGAAAAAUUUAUUGAAGGUGGAUUUGAUAGUAAAAUUAUAAAGAUUAAUAAUUUGAUUUUAGCUCUAAAAUAUGU